UAGUGCAAGUCGAACGAUGAACUGGUGCUUGCACUGGGGAUUAGUGGCGAACGGGUGAGUAACACGUGAGUAACCUGCCCUUGACUCUGGGAUAAGCCUGGGAAACUGGGUCUAAUACCGGAUAUGACCUUCCAUCGCAUGGUGGUUGGUGGAAAGCUUUUGUGGUUUUGGAUGGACUCGCGGCCUAUCAGCUUGUUGGUGGGGUAAUGGCCUACCAAGGCGACGACCCCUAGCCGGCCUGAGAGGGUGACCGGCCACACUGGGACUGAGACACGGCCCAGACUCCUACGGGAGGCAGCAGUGGGGAAUAUUGCACAAUGGGCGGAAGCCUGAUGCAGCGACGCCGCGUGAGGGAUGACGGCCUUCGGGUUGUAAACCUCUUUCAGUAGGGAAGAAGCGAAAGUGACGGUACCUGCAGAAGAAGCGCCGGCUAACUACGUGCCAGCAGCCGCGGUAAUACGUACCCCGCAAGCGUUAUCCGGAAUUAUUGGGCGUAAAGAGCUCGUAGGCGGUUUGUCGCGUCUGCCGUGAAAGUCCGGGGCUCAACUCCGGAUCUGCGGUGGGUACGGGCAGACUAGAGUGAUGUAGGGGAGACUGGAAUUCCUGGUGUAGCGGUGAAAUGCGCAGAUAUCAGGAGGAACACCGAUGGCGGGCAGGUCUCUGGGCAUUAACUGACGCUGAGGAGCGAAAGCAUGGGGAGCGAACAGGAUUAGAUACCCUGGUAGUCCAUGCCGUAAACGUUGGGCACUAGGUGUGGGGGACAUUCCACGUUUUCCGCGCCGUAGCUAACGCAUUAAG
rnacentral:rRNA from 1 species